AACUGAAGGACUGCAACGUCACAUUAAUUUUAACCAAUGAAAUGUGCUGUUGCAAUAAUGUACUCUUCAAAAAAGAAAAUACAAAAGAACUAAGGUUAAUAAAUAGAACAACUAUAUAGAUACGAAGUUACUAUACACAUCUAUUCAUUAGUAUUUAUGAACAGAAAGUCAGAAAAGAUGCUCUAAUCAAGAGAAGAAAACGUCAAUGUGACAGUGAAAAGGGCUAGGACUUGGAUGAGUCUGUUCAGAGAAGAAGAACAGCCAAGUUUUAUAUGUAUGUACUUAAAGGGCAACCAAAUAAGAUUUAAAGUAUCCAGUGAAGGUCUUACAAAGAUAGAUGAUAUUUCACUGUUAUAAAGUAAAGGGACAAAAGCUCAGAGCAGCUAUAUUAUAAUGUACCAUCAGUGCUCUUUCAACAGCUGCAUAUCAAUAAACAGAUAAACAUAUGAACAAUUUAUUCAUGAUAAGGGAUAUGCCCUUGAAAUAACAUUUUAUAAUAUUUUGUGAUAACUUAUUGAAAAUGUGAGACUUGAUUUGUCAGAAUUUUGAUAUAAAUCAAGAGUUUAAAAUGAUCUUGGUCUUGAACAUUAAAAAAAAAAUUGAUUUGAAAAAAGUUGAAAUGUUAAGCAAAGAACAAUAACAAUUUGCUAAGGAGAGAAAAUUAUGGAUAAAAUAAGAGAUAUACAACAAUGCAAUAAUUUCCAAAACUGAUGGAGAACUGCAAAUUGAGUUAUUAGAUAUAGGAAGAUGUGGUGUGAGUGCCAAUGAGACAACUCUCCAUCCAAACAACAAUUCAAAAAUUAAACCAUUAUAGGUUAAAAUAUAGUCCUUUAUGCAACAUUUUUAGCUGUAUUAAUUUGCUUCCAAUCAUGUAUUGCUGUUAUGAAAUAUUUCUGAAGUAAAACUAGUGAAAAUGUUAUCAAAUAUAUAAACUCUGUAUUAUGAAUGAGAUUUUCAGUAAAACUGAAUAGAUUUUAAAUUUAGGAAGCUUGUAAAACAAUGGAAGAUUUUGUUAAAAAAUAUUUGAAAUUAUGAAUUAUAGAUAUGUUAACAAAGUAACAAUCCUUUUUCAUCUUUCAAAUUUCGAAAACAAGUUUCCAAUUCAUUGUUUCAAUUUCCUAAUGGCUAGUCUGAUUGUUUCUUUAUAAUUUGGUAUAGAUUCAAAAUUUAGAAGUAGAGGUGUUUUCGAGGUGUUUCUGACCAUUACCAAAUAAGAUAUAUUCCCUUUGUCUAUUUCUUGAUUUUUUAUGAUGUGUAUAUAUUGUGUCUGACAAUUUUGCAUAUGUGAAGAAUGACAUUUAUAAUGUAUUCAUAUUUUGACCAAAAAAAACACAUUCAGAAAUUAUUUAGUACAAUUUUGUAACAUUUGUUAAUUGUGAAAAUUAUUAAAAGAACUUAAAAAUCAUAA